rnacentral:misc_RNA from 1 species
GAUGAAGAACGUAGCGAAAUGCGAUAAGUAGUGUGAAUUGCAGAAUUCAGUGAAUCAUCGAAUCUUAGAACGCACAUUGCGCCCCUUGGUAUUCCAUGGGGCAUGCCUGUUCGAGCGUCAUUUGUACCUUCAAGCUUUGCUUGGUGUUGGGUGUUUGUCCUGAGGGACUCGCCUUAAAGUAAUUGGCAGCCAGUGUUUUGGUUUUGAAGCGCAGCACAAGUCGCGAUUCAAAGCUAUACGCCAGCUUCCACAAGCCUUUUUCACUUUUGACCUCGGAUCAGGUAGGGAUACCCGCUGAACUUAAGCAUAUCAAUAAGCGGAGGA